AAACGUGAGGACAAUCUGGCUGUGACAUCCAUCACCCCACUGAUCUCCAGCGUUGAUUCAGCUGAUCAGUGGGCUGAGCAGGUGUCCCCUUUCUCCCUCACCAUUCCAUGUGCGUUCCUCCCAGAACUGCACACCUGGUCAAAGAGGAAGGCCUUUCCUGAUAAAGGAGGACCAUUCUCAGUCAAGGGUAUGUGAGUACCUGUUCUCCCCUGCCAGAAUCUCAAACGAGCUCUCUGUAAAAAUCACAAGAUUUUAUUGUGCAUGGUAGCAUGAGUCUGUAAUCCCAGCUACCAGCUACUCAGGUGGCUGAGGUAGUGGGAU
rfam:Callithrix jacchus chromosome 11, whole genome shotgun sequence